rnacentral:rRNA from 1 species
GAUGAACGCUAGCGACAGGCUUAACACAUGCAAGUCGAGGGGCAGCAUAAAAGUAGCAAUACUUUGGUGGCGACCGGCGCACGGGUGAGUAACGCGUAUGCAACCUACCUAUCAGAGGGGAAUAACCCGGCGAAAGUCGGACUAAUACCGCAUAAAACAGGGGCACCGCAUGGUGAUAUUUGUCUAAGAAAUUCGCUGAUAGAUGGGCAUGCGUUCCAUUAGGUAGUUGGUGAGGUAACGGCUCACCAAGCCGACGAUGGAUAGGGGAACUGAGAGGUUGGUCCCCCACACUGGUACUGAGACACGGACCAGACUCCUACGGGAGGCAGCAGUGAGGAAUAUUGGUCAAUGGGCGGGAGCCUGAACCAGCCAAGUCGCGUGAAGGAAGAAGGAUCUAUGGUUCGUAAACUUCUUUUGCAGGGGAAUAAAGUGCAGGACGUGUCCUGUUUUGUAUGUACCCUGAGAAUAAGGAUCGGCUAACUCCGUGCCAGCAGCCGCGGUAAAAC